rnacentral:RNase_P_RNA from 1 species
GAAGCUGACCAGACAGUCGCCGCUUCGUCGUCGUCCUCCUUCGGGGGAGACGGGCGGAGGGGAGGAAAGUCCGGGCUCCAUAGGGCAGGGUGCCAGGUAACGCCUGGGGGGGAAGCCCACGACCAGUGCAACAGAGAGCAAACCGCCGAUGGCCCACGCACGUGGGAUCAGGUAAGGGUGAAAGGGGGCGGUAAGAGCGCACCGCGCGGCUGGUAACAGUCCGUGGCACGGUAAACUCCACCCGGAGCAAGGCCAAAUAGGGGUUCAUAAGGUACGGCCCGUACUGAACCCGGGUAGGCUGCUUGAGCCAGUGAGCGAUUGCUGGCCUAGAUGAAUGACUGUCCACGACAGAACCCGGCUUAUCGGUCAGUUUCACCU